UACGUAGGGUGCGAGCGUUGUCCGGAAUUAUUGGGCGUAAAGGGCUCGUAGGCGGUCUGUCGCGUCGGGAGUGAAAACUCAGGGCUUAACCCUGAGCCUGCUUCCGAUACGGGCAGACUAGAGGUAUGCAGGGGAGAACGGAAUUCCUGGUGUAGCGGUGGAAUGCGCAGAUAUCAGGAGGAACACCGGUGGCGAAGGCGGUUCUCUGGGCAUUACCUGACGCUGAGGCGCGAAAGCUAGGGGAGCAAACGGG
rnacentral:rRNA from 1 species